rnacentral:tRNA from 1 species
GGGGUUGUGGCUCACUGGUAGAGCACUUGCCUAGCAUGCGUGAGGUGCUGGGUUCAAUCCUCAGCACCA